rnacentral:rRNA from 1 species
UACGGAGGAUCCAAGCGUUAUCCGGAUUCAUUGGGUUUAAAGGGUGCGUAGGCGGGAUGAUAAGUCAGUGGUGAAAUCCCAUAGCUCAACUAUGGAACUGCCAUUGAUACUGUCAACCUUGAGUAUAAUUGAAGUGGGCGGAAUGUGUCAUGUAGCGGUGAAAUGCUUAGAGAUGACACAGAACACCGAUAGCGAAGGCAGCUCACUAAACUAUAACUGACGCUGAGGCACGAAAGCGUGGGGAU